CGAGGCAGCCAGGCGAUCGCGGCACCCAUGGGUGUCGAGGAAAGUCCGGACUCCACAGAGCAGGGUGGUGGGUAACGCCCACCCGGGGUGACCCGCGGGCCAGUGCCACAGAAAACAGACCGCCCCGGCGUUCGCGCCGGGGUAAGGGUGAAAAGGCGGUGUAAGAGACCACCGGCACCCCGGGUGACCGGGGUGGCCUGGUAAACCCCACCCGGAGCAAGACCAGACAGGCAGCGUUCGAGGGUUGCUCGCCCGAGCUGCCGGGUAGGUCGCACCAGGCCGUUGGUGACAACGGUCGCAGAUGGAUGAUCGCCCUCGACAGAAUCCGGCUUACCGGCUGCCUCGUCCU
rnacentral:RNase_P_RNA from 2 species